rnacentral:rRNA from 1 species
UUGUGUAUCAGUACAUGGCAUAUCAAUAAGCGGAGGAAAAGAAACUAACAAGGAUUCCCCUAGUAACGGCGAGUGAAGCGGGAAGAGCUCAAAUUUGAAAUCUUCAAGGGUUUCCCUUGACGAAUUGUAGUUUAAAGAAGUGUUUUCUGUUAGAGAGGUGGUAAAAGUUCUUUGGAAUAGGACAUCAUAGAGGGUGAGAAUCCCGUAUUUGACCAUUAUUUCCAACUUUGUGAUACACUUUCAAAGAGUCGGAUUGUUUGGGAAUGCAGUCCAAAAUGGGUGGUAAAUUUCAUCUAAAGCUAAAUACUGGCGAGAGACCGAUAGCGAACAAGUACCGUGAGGGAAAGAUGAAAAGAACUUUGAAAAGAGAGUUAAACAGUACGUGAAAUUGUCAAAAGGGAAGCGUUUGACACCAGUGUUGUUUUCUCGAAAAUCAAUUAAAAAUGGUGGGAUGUUGUGUUGUAUUGACUUUAUCAGCUUUCUGCACUUUUUUUCCUAUCCUUUUUAAUGCACUUUUCGUUUAACAAGUCAACAUCAAUUUCUUUUGUUGUAAAAGAGUUAAUAGGAAGGUGGCUUUACUUUCGGAGUAAAGUGUUUAUAGCCUUUGACUCUGCAAUCGGAGAGAUUGAGGUCUGCAGCGUAGAUCCUUCGGGGUUAGAUACAUUUGUGCUAAGUUAUAGCCUUUUCAUAGACAACAUUGUUGACUAUGAUCAUCAUGUAGCUUACUCGCUUAUGUCAUUUUACCUACGCUUAGGAUGUUGACAGCAGUAUAGACUGU